rnacentral:lncRNA from 1 species
CGGCAAAUAAAGGUAAUAUAGUAUUUUUUUUUUCCAACUGGUUUUGAUUAAUAAAACUUGUAGAACAGAACAUACAAGAGUGAGAUCUUAAACCCACAACAGGGAGACAUGAACCCAAACAACGGGUGACUUAAACCCAAAUAAAGGGUGACACUUGAUAAAACUACAACCAACACAAGAGAACUCUAGACUCAUAUAACCAAAGUAAAGACAAUCUUUGACAAGGGAUAACAAUAUUAAUCCUUUUACGAUUUGAACAGCCGGAACUCUUGACGAGAGAGGAAGCGAUGCAGUGGCCAUAACAACGAAACAGAACUAAACUUACCUGAACCUCCAGUUCACAGUACCAAGCCAAAACCAACAAGAAUAACAUCAUAUACCAACCAGAGAAGAACUACAACUGGGGCAAGCUCCCUCCUCAAACGAACCUUCAUCAGAAACCUUACUACCCUCAACCUCAUUAUACUGCUUCGAUUAGCCGAAGCACCCGAGGAACACGAGAGCAAAAGACAAACCGAGAAAUACACUUAUCCAAAGGCCGCGACAAUGACUCUUUUCUAGAGCGGGACAAGCAACCUGAAACUUCUCAAAGAUGUUAGACAUGUUCUGAUUUCCUCAUACCACCACGCCACCAUCGCACACCGUUUACACCGAAGCUAGAACGAAGGUAAAAGGUAAUAUAGUAUAUAUUGUAAUAAUAGUAGAAGAUAUUUUUUUAGUUAAAUACCUAAUUAUACUUUAUUUCAUAGGGUACUCUGGCCAAUAUCCCUUACUUUUUCUCGUUGAAAAC